UGGGCGUAAAGCGCGCGUAGGNGGUUUGUUAAGUUGGAUGUGAAAGCCCCGGGCUCAACCUGGGAACUGCAUNCAAAACUGGCAAGCUAGAGUNCGGUAGAGGGUGGUGGAAUUUCCUGUGUAGCGGUGAAAUGCGUAGAUAUAGGAAGGAACACCAGUGGCGAAGGCGACCACCUGGACUGAUACUGACACUGAGGUGCGAAAGCGUGGGGAGCAAACGG
rnacentral:rRNA from 1 species